AACUCUAGGUGGAUCUGACACCCUCUUCUGACUUUCAUGAGCACCCUUACAAACAGUGAACUGUGGUAUGGACUUCCUGCGACAUGGGCAGUUUGGGUGAUUCUUAAAAGGAACUACACCUGUGAUGACCUAAACAGAGCCACACCUCGGAUGCACCAGGACUAGUUGAUUUGCCAAAGCCAAACCUGACUUCUCCAUUGUCAACAGGAACUAAAGGACAAGGGCUGUCCUGGGAAAGGCUGCAAAACAGGAAGCCUGG